rnacentral:rRNA from 1 species
CCAAUAGCGUAUAUUAAAGUUGUUGCAGUUAAAAAGCUCGUAGUUGAAUUUCGGGACCAAUAUGUCGGUCGUACUUUGUACGUACUAGCAUCAUUGGUUUCUCCCUUCUGAAGAACCGCGAUGUCAUUAAUUUGGUGUCGUGGGGAAUCAGGACUGUUACUUUGAAAAAAUUAGAGUGUUUAAAGCAGGCUCGCGCUUGA